rnacentral:lncRNA from 1 species
GGCGGGGAGGCCUCCAUCCUGGGAACUGACGGUCUGCAAGGACCCUGUGCUGCUGCUCUCUGAGCAGGGCGGGGACGCCCUGACUGGGGAAGGGUGACUCCAGGGACAGUGCUGAUUUACGUCAAUUCCGGCGCUUACAAAGGCAGAAGCGGAGCCGGGAAGACAGGCGCACGCCAGGCGCUGAUUCGGCCUCCGCCGG